UACAGAGGGUGCAAGCGUUAAUCGGAAUUACUGGGCGUAAAGAGCUCGUAGGCGGUUUGUCGCGUCUGCCGUGAAAGUCCGGGGCUCAACUCCGGAUCUGCGGUGGGUACGGGCAGACUAGAGUGAUGUAGGGGAGACUGGAAUUCCUGGUGUAGCGGUGAAAUGCGCAGAUAUCAGGAGGAACACCGAUGGCGAAGGCAGGUCUCUGGGCAUUAACUGACGCUGAGGAGCGAAAGCAUGGGGAGCGAACAGG
rnacentral:rRNA from 1 species